rnacentral:rRNA from 1 species
CCUACGGGAGGCAGCAGUGGGGAAUAUUGGUCAAUGGGCGCAAGCCUGACCCAGCAACGCCGCGUGAAGGAAGAAGGCUUUCGGGUUUUAAACUUCUUUUCUCAGGGACGAAGAAGGUGACGGUACCUGAGGAAUAAGCCACGGCUAACUACGUGCCAGCAGCCGCGGUAAUACGUAGGUGGCAAGCGUUAUCCGGAUUUAUUGGGUGUAAAGGGUGUGUAGGCGGGAGUGCAAGUCAGAGGUGAAAACUCAGGUCUCAACCCUGGGCCUGGCUUUGAAACUGUGUUUCUUGAGUGCUGGAGAGGCAAUCGGAAUUCGGGGUGUAGCGGUGAAAUGCGUAGAUAUACGGAGGAACACCAGUGGCGAAGGCGGAUUGCUGGACCGUAACUGACGCUGAGGCACGAAAGCGUGGGGAGCAAACAGGAUUAGAUACCCGAGUAGUC